rnacentral:rRNA from 1 species
UACGAAGGGGGCUAGCGUUGCUCGGAAUGACUGGGCGUAAAGGGCGCGUAGGCGGCUGUGACAGUCAGAUGUGAAAUUCCUGGGCUCAACCUGGGGGCUGCAUUUGAUACGGCUAGGCUAGAGGAUGGAAGAGGGUCGCGGAAUUCCCAGUGUAGAGGUGAAAUUCGUAGAUAUUGGGAAGAACACCGGUGGCGAAGGCGGCGACCUGGUCCAUUACUGACGCUGAGGCGCGACAGCGUGGGGAGCAAACAGG